rnacentral:sRNA from 1 species
GAGGGGGAGGGGAGGUGUUUAGGAGAAAGUAGGGGCUGUGGGUGUCGGGAGCCGGCUGACGGGUGGACAAGGGGGGGUUAGCAGCUGGGCUACGACCGUUAGGGAGGGGCUCAAGGUGUGCAUGUGUGAGGGAAGAGAGAGAGAGAGAAGGGCGCCUCAGAGGUGACUUUCAGCCUGCGAGCCUUCUUCCCGGGGCGCCAUAAACGCCCCCAAUUUCCCAGCUGCUAAAGGAAGAGGAAGAUUCAACCCUAUGAAAAGAUAAAGGCCAGGGGCUUGCCUGAUAAUAUAUCUUCUGUGUUGAACAAACUAGUGGUGGUGAAACUCAAUGGUGGUUUGGGAACCAGCAUGGGCUGCAAAGGCCCUAAAAGUCUGAUUGGUGUGAGGAAUGAGAAUACCUUUCUGGAUCUGACUGUUCAGCAAAUUGAAGUGAGUAACAUUUAGCCUUUCUCAUGAGAUACUAAAAUAGUUUUUAGUUUUUAAGUUAUCAUAAAUGUU